rnacentral:rRNA from 1 species
UACGAAGGGGGCUAGCGUUGCUCGGAAUCACUGGGCGUAAAGCGCACGUAGGCCGAUUGUUAAGUCAGGGGUGAAAUCCUGGAGCUCAACUCCAGAACUGCCCUUGAUACUGACGGUCUCGAGUCCGGGAGAGGUGAGUGGAACUGCGAGUGUAGAGGUGAAAUUCGUAGAUAUUCGCAAGAACACCAGUGGCGAAGGCGGCUCACUGGCCCGGUACUGACGCUGAGGUGCGAAAGCGUGGGGAGCGAGCCGG